rnacentral:rRNA from 1 species
UACGUAGGUGGCAAGCGUUGUCCGGAUUUACUGGGCGUAAAGGGCGCGUAGGCGGUCGUGACAAGUCACUUGUGAAAUCUCCGGGCUUAACUCGGAACGGUCAAGUGAUACUGUCGGACUAGAGUACAGAAGGGGCAACUGGAAUUCUCGGUGUAGCGGUGAAAUGCGUAGAUAUCGAGAGGAACACCUGGCGGCGAAGGCGGGUUGCUGGGCUGAUGAACUGACGCUGAGGCGCGAAAGCCCAGGGGAGCGAACGGG